AUCGAAUCUGCGAUAAGAUAUCAAUGUCACGGAAGAAUAAGAGUUUCGAUUGUUUGUCAGUCAAGCUUAUCCACCAGUAAACAUUUUUAGAUAUUGAACGUAAUUUUCACAGGAAAUGGUCGUACACGCUUGGGUAAACAACUGUUGUUUACCAACUAUAAAAUGAAUGAACGCGUUCAUUCUAACCUUUCUGUUCGUAGUAAAAUCGUCACAUAGAUUUCUUAGUAAUUUCGAGUUGUUUGCCAUGUAACCUAACAUGUUCUUCAAUAUUUCCUAUUUAGACAGCGAUUCGAAAAGAGUACACUGAGAAAUCUGAAGAAGGAAGAUGAUGAUUUUUAGUGGCCAGAGAAAUGGAAUGUAUUUUAUAGUUUUUAUAUUAUAUCUUUAUAUAGUUGAGUUUGGCACAUUCAACAAGCUGUACUAAAAUUUUCCCUUUUUUUGUAGUUUGUAGCAUGAGCUAGCAAGAUCGCUUGAAUUGAAAACUGCAUGGGGCGCUGGUAAGUCUAGCACCAGUCCUGGACUCACGCCACACGCUUGAAGAACAAGAAAAAUGAAAUUUUGUAGCAAGAGCGUUUGAAUUGAAAACUGCAUGGGGCGCUGGUAAGUCUAGUACCAGUCCUGGACUCACGCCACACGCUCGAAGCACAAUAGAAACGAUCGAGGUGGAACGGCCGUGUAAAAUCUUUAAUCGCAUUCUCUGGACACCGGCGCAGAUGGAGAGUAGUUUGAACUAAUUAACCCUGUUGGCCCGGGGCGCCGAGGUUCGCACGGACAGCGCUGCCGACUCACGCACCAGGCGUAGAGGUCGCGACAGCCCGGUCAAUCGGCCAAUACCAAUUACCCGUUAAUUUAUUACAAUCUUCCGUCAUUACCGAUUUGCUCGCGUGAGCACAGGUAGCGGGCACCGUCCCCUCGUUUGUGGGAAAAAAUUGCAUUUCGAUAUUUCUGCACUAUUUCCAACGAGACAAUUAUUUUCAAUUAGAAAACAUUAGGAAGUCGACGAUGGCGUAGGUGCAGUCUUUUGAAUACCGAUUGAGCAUAUAAUAGUUGCACUUUGUAGACGAUAUUCGUUGAAAUGAAUAAUUAAACGUGUAAAUCGCUAGACGAUUUCAGGAAAGAUUUAUCUAAUCAGGAGGAUACUAAUUGGAAGGUUUUAGAAAUUUAUGAAUCAUCUUGUGUUUACUUAGAGUCACGAGUCAUUCGAGAAGAGUUCCCUACUCUCUGAUAUUUGUUUAUCACUAAAUCACAGCGAGAAAAUAAUCUUUAACGAAUACCGUAUUCGACCUUUAUAUUAUUUAGUACUUACGAGUCGGGAUAUAGGGAGAAUCGCUAACUGUUAUAUUUCGAAGAUCUCUUAGAUUAUCGUUGUCAAACUAAACAAAGACGAGAUCUGUCAGCUGACGUUGACACCUGAUAUAAGCACAAUUUGUAAUCUAUAAUUUUAAUAUUUACUUGGCAAGAAAAUCGAUAAUGUUCAAAUUAUCGCGAUUAUCUAAUCGCCAUAGAAGUAUUCGAUAGACGACUAGUUCGCAGUUUGAUAAGGGAAUUCUAUGCCAUUACAUAAAAUAGUAAUAGCGAUAGAGAUUACACAAAUAUAACGAUGGAGAAAAUCCAUCAAUUCUCUAUCACGGUUCUCUUCAAAAUUAUAUCUCUAGCCCGUUACAUUAAACAAAAAAAAUUAUUUUUAACAGCUAGGAGGAUAAAUUCUACAAGCAAGGGUGGAAGAACUCUGAUGUACGAGAAAACAAGAUACAUCCAGAAAUAAUUGAGAGUAAAUACAGCACACACCGUGUCGUUGUCUAGGAAGAUCUAGAAUCUAGAGGGAGCUUGAAGUAGUCGAGGGCUGCGACACGAUCAAUCUAUCCGUCGAUCCCUUCUCGAUCCUGCGUGGGAUCCACCGUGGUAUACGCGCACGACCUGCCUGCACGAUAGGACGUCUGACCCGUCACUGACCAGUCUCCUGGUCAAAACCCUAAGCUUUAACUGAAAUCAAUUCGAUCCGUGCAUCACCCUUUCCCUCCCUCCGAUCUUUUCUCACUACCCAAUCGACGCAUUGUGGUUUGCGGUUACGCUGAGCAAUUUCGUUCAUUUGUACGUCAUAUACAUAGUACAGUGCGUAAGCAUAUUUUCCUAGUUUUCCGAUUAUAUGUACGCUGAUAUCACGCAGUCAGCCAGCCGCAAACAGCCCCCGAACAACAGUCGCCGACUAGUCUACCUAAUACAGAACACGCGAUGUCUGUCGGGCCUCCUACGACCGCUCUGUCCCUGCACUUGCAGUGAAUAUUAGAAAUUGGCCAAAUUAACAAUUGGAAGGACGCAAGAGUACCUCGCACAUACGUUUAAUUUGUAUAUUCAAUUGCACUUCUUUUAUAUGGUUAAUUUUGUAAAUUGAAUUGUAGCAAUUUUAGCUUCUGAGAUAAACAGUAGCUAGUCUGAGAUUGCGGAAUCGUCGCAUGCACAAUUGAAUAUACAAAGUAAGCAUAUGGAUGAGGUAUUAUGGCAUCCUCUUAUAUAGUUAAUUUGGUAAAUUGAAUCGUACCAAUUUUAGGUUCUUAAUUUAAACAGUAGCUUCUUGCAAAAUUAUCAUGCUUCUAUAAUGUAAAUGUGAUCGAUUCCAAAAGUGAAUUAGACUUGUACUUGAGAUCAGAGAAAAUGCAAAGUAUUCCAGUAGAAACAGCGAUGCGUAAGACGUUGUACGGCUUCGAGGGGGUGCGAAAUGGUGACGCGGGCGUAGGCGUACGAGAGAUUUUGAAGUCAAUCGCGGAAAGCAAUUACUAUCAUGCUUUGAAAUUAUUCCAUCUUGCUACAGAAAUAUUUACACAUUAAAUUCAAGGUUGUUCUUAGGGGUGGAUACUUGGUAAAUUUUAGCCAUUAAUUGUUUUCAAUUUCUUUCUCGAAAGAUUUGAUUCGUGCUAGAGUUACAAACUCAACUAAUCCUAUCAAACUCGUCAUUCUGUGGUUAGAGUUUCUAGGAUUGUACAAUUGUGAAUGAACGUAGAUUAGGGACUCAUUCGUUCAUGAGAUCAGACAAUUACGUUAAUUCAUAUUAGAAUUGUAUUGGUUGAUUAUUAAUACUUGGUUACUACAUUUCUAGAUCGGAAUUAUUCUUUUAGACUAUCAUAUUCAAAUGUUCGCGUAAAUAAUGUAAUAAACUGAUUUGCCUACAGGUACUGUGCUGUUACUUACGUCCUAGCCAAAGAUGCACGAGGAAGAAUAUCUGCCAGGA